rnacentral:RNase_P_RNA from 1 species
CGCGAGGGUGAGGAAAGUCCGGACUCCGCAGGGCAGGGGACCCGGUUGUCAAAGCCGGGAGCGCGGCGGCAAGCGCCGCGUAUGGAAAGCGUCACAGAGACAGACCGCCCUCCGAUGCCGGCGCCGCAAGGCGCCGCGAAGGGGGGUAAGGGUGAAAGGGCGGUGUAAGAGACCACCGGGACUGCGCGAGAGCGCAUCCGCACGACAAGCCCUCCUCGGAGCAAGAUCAAAUAGGGAACCGACGGGCUGCCCGCCCGGUUCGUGCAAAACCACUCGUCCCGCGGUUGUCGCCGCCGGAUCCGGUAAAGCGCGAUGAGGUUCCGGGUUGAUUGCUGAGAUGAAUGAUCGGACCCGCAAGGGGAACAGAAUCCGGCUUAUUCGCC